UACGUAGGUGGCAAGCGUUAUCCGGAAUUAUUGGGCGUAAAGAGCGCGCAGGUGGUUAAUUAAGUCUGGUGUGAAAGCCCACGGCUUAACCGUGGAGGGUCAUUGGAAACUGGUUGACUUGAGUGCAGAAGAGGGAAGUGGAAUUCCAUGUGUAGCGGUGAAAUGCGUAGAGAUAUGGAGGAACACCAGUGGCGAAGGCGGCUUCCUGGUCUGCAACUGACACUGAGGCGCGGAAGCGUGGGGAGCAAACAGG
rnacentral:rRNA from 1 species